rnacentral:ribozyme from 11 species
UUUUUUCUUUUUGUUAUUCUUCUUUUUCUUUUUCUUCCCCGUUUGUGCUUCACCUAUGGGUACCACUGCGCAAUUGAUUGAAGACGAAGAAGGGUUCGA